rnacentral:rRNA from 1 species
GAUGAACGCUGGCGGCGUGCCUAAUACAUGCAAGUCGAGCGAACGGACGAGAAGCUUGCUUUUCUGAUGUUAGCGGCGGACGGAUGAGUAACACGUGGAUAACCUACCUAUAAGACUGGGAUAACUUCGGGAAACCGGAGCUAAUACCGGAUAAUAUUUUGAACCGCAUGGUUCAAAAGUGAAAGACGGUCUUGCUGUCACUUAUAGAUGGAUCCGCGCUGCAUUAGCUAGUUGGUAAGGUAACGGCUUACCAAGGCAACGAUGCAAAGCCGACCUGAGAGGGUGAUCGGCCACACUGGAACUGAGACACGGUCCAGACUCCUACGGGAGGCAGCAGUAGGGAAUCUUCCGCAAUGGGCGAAAGCCUGACGGAGCAACGCCGCGUGAGUGAUGAAGGUCUUCGGAUCGUAAAACUCUGUUAUUAGGGAAGAACAUAUGUGUAAGUAACUGUGCACAUCUUGACGGUACCUAAUCAGAAAGCCACGGCUAACUACGUG